rnacentral:rRNA from 1 species
UGGAUCCAGACUUUGAUCAUGGCUCAGGAUGAACGCUAGCUACAGGCUUAACACAUGCAAGUCGAGGGGAAACGAUAGAGAAAGCUUGCUUUUUCUAGGCGUCGACCGGCGCACGGGUGGGUAACGCGUAUCCAACCUGCCCAUCACUUGGGGAUAACCUUGCGAAAGUAAGACUAAUACCCAAUGAUAUCUCAAGAAGACAUCUGAAUGAGAUUAAAGAUUUAUCGGUGAUGGAUGGGGAUGCGUCUGAUUAGCUUGUUGGCGGGGUAACGGCCCACCAAGGCGACGAUCAGUAGGGGUUCUGAGAGGAAGGUCCCCCACAUUGGAACUGAGACACGGUCCAAACUCCUACGGGAGGCAGCAGUGAGGAAUAUUGGUCAAUGGGCGAGAGCCUGAACCAGCCAAGUAGCGUGCAGGAAGACGGCCCUAUGGGUUGUAAACUGCUUUUAUAAGGGAAUAAAGUGAGUCUCGUGAGACUUUUUGCAUGUACCUUAUGAAUAAGACCGGCUAAUUCCGUGCCAGCAGCCGCGGUAAUACG